rnacentral:misc_RNA from 1 species
AUACCAACGCCUACCUCGGAAGGUAGUGCCUGUCGAAAGUAUUAUUCGGAAAUACUGAUGAUUGUUUCAGGACAAUUAUAAUUUCAUAUAGCUUAGUUAUAGGCAACUUAAUCAAAAACAGAUCAACAGCAACACGUACCAGCAAGCCGCCAAACUUGACAGCUAAUCCACAGGAGAAUGGCGCAAUACGAAUUUACUGACGAAGAAACUCAACUACCCCCUGUUAAGUAUGAAUACUUGGACCACACAGCAGAUGUCCAGCUUCAUGCGUGGGGGGAUGAUCUUAUGGAAGCAUUUGAGCAGUGUGCCAUGGCAAUGUUUGCCUACAUGACAGAAAUAGAAUAUGUAGAUUUGGUUGAGGCACACCAGAUAGAAGCUCAAGGAGAAGACUUGGAAUCUCUUUUAUUUCACUUCCUUGACGAGUUUUUAUUUUUGUUUUCAUGCGACCCAUUCCUCAUAGCAAGGAAAGUAAAGAUAUUAGAUUUUGACUUUGAAAACUUCAAAAUUGUUGCUAAAGGGUAUGGGGAGAGAUUUGAUCUGGAGAAACAUCCUCAAGGAACUGAAGUGAAAGCCAUUACAUAUUCCAAUAUGCAAGUUCACAACAAGGAUGGACAGCAUGAAGUUUUUGUAAUAAUUGACAUCUAAGAGGGCUCGUGAAAAAUUACUUCAAAGUUGCAAUUUGUCAAUCAUUCCCAUUUCAUCAUCCAAGAAGCACAGUGGCACAGUCUUGGUUUGUAAUUCAAAGCAGUGUCACAUAGCUACCAUCAUGGCUCCAUGCAUGCUACCAUUGCGGGGGAAAUCACAGCUAUACGUUUAAUAACUUUUUAUUGAAUAAAAAUUUAUAUCGCAGUUAUGAAAAACAAGAAAAGAUCCUCGCGCAGUUUUUUUAUUGCAGCAUCUUGACCUUGUCAGUACACAUGGAGUAGAGAAAGAGAGGUUGGUCGUAAACGUAAACAACCACCAAACGUUACAUUUUAAUGACGUUGAGACACCACCUGUGACAUCUGAUGCUGUCGCUGAAGACCAGCUUAAGCAGUGUUUGCACCUAGCGGAUUGCAAGCAAGAUAUUUGGGAAUACUGAGGGUGAACCUCCCCGCCCCCGCUCAUUCAAAAACACAUGAUCCGCUGAGUACGUCACGUCACAGCGCUGCCAUCUACAGGACAGAUGUUCCACAUCCCGGGGCCCUCUCUCGAGCACAGUUAUUGUUUGCGAUCAAAUCUGCAAUGAGUAUAACUUUUAUAGUUUCGGAGCGAGUAGUUUAUGGUUCCACCGUUCGCCGAAAAAGCAAAAAUUUAAACUCGUAGUGAGAUAUUCUUCCGAAACCUGUUGAUGGCCGACAUCGCUUACCCAGUGCUCGUUCCGGGGCCAACACAGCCACACGCUGUGCGGGAAAGGUGUUUUCGCGCCAUCGGGGCACUGCAUUGUUGCUGCUGUGGCGGAUGCCUGGCGGAUGCCCGAAACACGCUUCUUUUUAAGUGCUCCAUUUAAUCUCAUUUUGAACGAUUUAUUUUUGUUGGCCGCGAUAUACUCGCAGUUCUUGUUUUAUUUACCUUAUUCGACUUCGCCUUAAAGCUACCUUCAGUCUUUCCGGUGGAUAUCUGUGCGUUGAGGAUCGUUGAAUCUUCUAGUGUAAUAAUAAUUAUGCUGUAACGGAGCUUGCUUGCAAGCCAAGCUCGAAACAAAAGACGGCUUUGGAAAGCACUAUUCUGUUCUGAAAUCUUCAUGAAACAUGUAGGAUUUGAACUUCAACUUAUUUCCACCACACGUAUUUCUCCUGUAUAUCGGAAACCUACUAUCUUCUAGUCCAGGCUCAGAGAGAUAUUUCUCCCAUCAUCUGGCUUCUGGUAUUGGAGAACAUACCACAUCUGUAAGCCCCUCUUCUCCAUUCCAACACCUCCUUGACCACGAGUACGGUCAAACACCCCAAGAUCAAAUCAUCCGUCA